rnacentral:lncRNA from 1 species
UUUGAACAGCGUCUGACAUUUAUUGAAAAUCAGGAAAAGACGUUUGUCCAGGUAGUGUAGAAGAGCUGGGCAGACUGCUGGGGUUACUGUGUUGGACAAAAGGCACACGUCAGAGAGACAGCUGCACAUUCAGAAGAGAACUGGAUUCUGGGCGAAACUAACAGGUCCACAGGAGACAAUGAGUGACUCGACGUGGCUGCCAGGCACCCCCGGGACCUGGCAGCCUCCUGGCAGGAGCAGGAGCGGGAGCGGGAGCGGGAGCAGGAGAUGUCUCUGGGAGUAGGGAGGGAGUGGGCCCCGCUGACGGUGAAAGGCUGGCCGGCCCCUCCGCGGCGGUGGAGAGCUGUUGCAAUCAUCGUCUCGGGGGGCAGUGAGCGGCUCAGGCACCCCACCCCCCCGGGGGGGUGGUGGUGAGUCCAGAUCCCCGAAGGCUGCAGGGCGUCGGCGGGAGCGAUGCGGUGGACGGUGGGGGCACGGCAGCGGCAGCGCAGGUCUCUGGGCACCCGGAUGCCGGCCUGGGAGUCCGGCCAGGCGCCGGCGGUCGGCGGGCGCCGGGCUGCAGGUGGUCCGUCCCGCGUGUAACAGGAGCCCGGCUUGCAGCUGGAGCGCAGGACCGGGUCCAAGGGUGCACGGGAGGGGCCGGGCCGGCCCGAGAGGGCGGCGGCCGGUCCGCACCAGGCCUGGAGGCGGCGGAGGCGGCGGGAACCUGGAGCGCUAUUCCUGGAACAAAGGCAAGCACGACGCGGGAGGGGACACGAGCGCGCGGGGAGAGCGCGGCCACCCGAAGGUGAGGGACGGGGGAGGCGCGGCGGGAGGGCGCCCGCGGCGGGGCUCCCGGCCUAGAAGUCCUCGUCCUCCACCCAUCCAAAGACCCGCUUCAUCUCGGCCAGGAAGCCCCGGUAAUCGUUGAGGAGGGGGCUCUGCUUCCUGAUGUAGGGGAUCACCCACUGCAGGGCCGGCCCGGUGAGGCGGGUGAUGAGGAACGUCACCUUCAGGCUGUCGUUGGAGAACAGGGUCUCGUCCACGAGCAUGUAGGCGCCCGUCUGCACGAUAAACUCCGGGAGCCGGUCGGUGUCGCCGUCAAACGUCUCGGGGAAGGGGAUCGGGUUCCUCCACCGACGCGUCUGGGGCCGGAUGGGUAAGGCCAGGAGGGCCUUGAUCAGCUGCACCCGGCCGUCCAUCGCGCCUCGCUCGCCU